UACGUAGGGGGCGAGCGUUGUCCGGAAUUAUUGGGCGUAAAGAGCUCGUAGGCGGUCCAUUAAGUCGGAAGUGAAAUCUCAGGGCUCAACCCUGAAAUUGCUUUCGAUACUGGCGGACUUGAGGCAAGUAGGGGAGAGCGGAAUUCCUGGUGUAGCGGUGAAAUGCGCAGAUAUCAGGAGGAACACCGGUGGCGAAGGCGGCUCUCUGGGCUUGUUCUGACGCUGAGGAGCGAAAGCGUGGGGAGCGAACAGG
rnacentral:rRNA from 1 species